rnacentral:sRNA from 1 species
UUCGAAACCAAUGUACCUCCAAAUUUUAAACGUUCAGGCUCCAUCUUCUCUAUCGCACUCU